ensembl:snRNA U6 U6 spliceosomal RNA
GUGCUCACUUUGGAAGCAGAUAUACUAAAAUUGGAAUGAGGAUUAACAUGGCCCCAGUGCAAGGAUGAUAUGCACUUUGUGAAUUAAAAAAAAAAAAG